UACAGAGGUCCCAAGCGUUGUUCGGAUUCACUGGGCGUAAAGGGUGCGUAGGUGGUGAGGUAAGUUUGAUGUGAAAUCUCCGGGCUCAACUCGGAAAUGGCAUUGAAUACUAUCUCGCUUGAGGUUUGGAAGGGGGAUUGGAAUUCUCGGUGUAGCAGUGAAAUGCGUAGAUAUCGAGAGGAACACCAGUGGCGAAGGCGAAUCCCUGGACAACACCUGACACUGAGGCACGAAAGCUAGGGGAGCAAACAGG
rnacentral:rRNA from 1 species